GAUGAACGCUAGCGGGAGGCCUAAUACAUGCAAGUCGAACGGUAAGGUCCCUUCGGGGAUACACGAGUGGCGGACGGGUGCGUAACGCGUACGAAACAUACCUUCAACAGGGAGAUACCUCCAGGAAACUGGAAAUAAUACCCCAUAGUAUUGAGAUAUCGCAUGAUAUUUCAAUUAAAGCUUUGGCGGUUGAAGAUUGUCGUGCGUCUGAUUAGCUAGUUGGUGAGGUAACGGCUCACCAAGGCGACGAUCAGUAGCUGGUCUGAGAGGAUGAUCAGCCACACUGGAACUGAGACACGGUCCAGACUCCUACGGGAGGCAGCAGUAGGGAAUAUUGGACAAUGGGCGGAAGCCUGAUCCAGCCAUCCCGCGUGUAGGAAUAAGGCCCUAUGGGUUGUAACUACUUUAUUAGGGUAGAAAACUUAGAUUUAUCAGAGCUUGACGGUACCUAAGGAAUAAGACACCGGCUAACUCCGUGCCAGCAGCCGCGGU
rnacentral:rRNA from 1 species